rnacentral:rRNA from 1 species
UCUACGGGAGGCAGCAGUGGGGAAUAUUGGGCAAUGGGCGCAAGCCUGACCCAGCAACGCCGCGUGAAGGAAGAAGGCUUUCGGGUUGUAAACUUCUUUUCUCAGGGACGAAGCAAGUGACGGUACCUGAGUAAUAAGCCACGGCUAACUACGUGCCAGCAGCCGCGGUAAUCCGUAGGUGACAAGCGUUAUCCGGAUUUACUGGGUGUAAAGGGCGUGUAGGUGGGAAAGCAAGUCAGAUGUGAAAACCAUGGGCUCAACCUGUGGGCUGCAUUUGAAACUGUUGUUCUUGAGUACUGGAGAGGCAGACGGAAUUCCUAGUGUAGCGGUGAAAUGCGUAGAUAUUAGGAGGAACACCAGUGGCGAAGGCGGUCUGCUGGACAGCAACUGACGCUGAGGCGCGAAAGCGUGGGGAGCAAACAGGAUUAGAUACCCCAGUAGUC